rnacentral:rRNA from 1 species
AUGUACAUUCCUACAGCAUAACGUUAAUGCAUCAAAUCUCAUUAGAACUCCACUUUUAAGCGCGCUCGGGCUAGAGUAGUACUGGGAUGGGUGACUGCCUGAGAAGUCCUAAUAUUUUACAUG